rnacentral:lncRNA from 1 species
GGGGGAUAUUUUUCAGUUGGAUCAGGAAACUGGUCUGACUGAAUUCACAAUUGCACGUGACAAAUGGAUUGUGUCAUCACAGACAGAGUAGAAGGAAGGCUCAACCACAGACAAGAUUGAGGGAGAUGCAGUCACUUCCUGAUGGUUGCCUGCAGUUAGGUCAUAGUCCAAGUCAAUGACUUUGAGAAGACAAGACUGUUUUUCUUCAUUGACCACAGAGUCUAAAAAGUCUAGACCAUGGUGGUCUAAAGUUACAUUUUGUCAUUAUUCCUCUUCUCUCCUCAGUACUUAUAACUUCUUCCUACAGUAAACGGAGAAAGACUCAGAAGCCAGACAGAGAGCUCCUCACUUGCGAAGUUGCACAUGGUUGGCUGUUGGUGUAAUGCAAGUAAAAAUUUUUGUGAUAUUGAAACACUCCUCGCUAAGUCAUUCCAUCGUGUGAGACUAGUUUAUGUUGCUUCUGGGUCUAUUCUGUCAUGUCUGGGAGUCCUGUUACUUGGUCUGUUGUUACAUUACCGGAUGCACUUAUUCAAGUUAUUCACAUAGAUCACGGCUUAAUAAAGAAAGACAAUAAAAAUUCA